GGCGCAGUGGCAGAGUGGUCUAAUGCGCAAGACUAGAACAUCUGGAUCUUCCCCGAUAAUUCCUGAGAUUAUCCUAGAUAUUUGAUAUCUUGUUCCUUCGGGAGCGUCUGUUCGAAUCAGGCCUGCGUCG